GUGUGUGUGUGUGUGUGUGUGGGUGGGUGGGUGGGUGUAGUCCAUGGCAGCCAUGUUUGUAAGCCGCAGUGCUGGAUGGGAAAUGUAGUCACUGAUUUGCUGUGAUAUAACAAUUUUACUUCUCAUGAUGUGUUCAUAAGACAUUCUCUCACAAAAGAGAAUCUCAUGCUAUUGAAGCAGAAGUGCAUUAACCAACUACUAAAUACAUUUGUUUCAUGUCACCAUUUAUAUUCUUACUGUUCUGAAUUUUUUUAGAUCAAAGGUGGCUAUGGAUAUAAACUUAUUGUCUGUAGCAUCCUGCCUUACCAACAGCCUAAAACAGCUUAAAUCAGAUUUAGAUUUACAAUACUUACUGGGGUCAAUUUCAGCUAUUUUCUGGGUGGGGUUUCCUCCAGGUUUUCUAGUAUCUUCCCACCUCCAAGAAACAUGCCAGAAGAAACAUGAAAGAAACAUGCCAGUAGGUGGAACUGCUAGGGUAAAUUGCCCCUAGGUGAGAAUGUGUGUCUGGUGCUCUGUGAUGGACUGGCAUCCUAUUCAGUGUGGGAACAGUGUGCCAGUGGUAUAGCCCCUAAGAUAUUUCUUUUACAGUCCUGCCAUAAGCCAUAUCAAUGAAGGUGGACACAGGUUUGAAAGGAUCCUGGUAUUAAAGCACGAAAAUACACUUUGUUUAUAUAACUUUCUGCCUGCCACAUAUGUAGGAUAGUCAUAAAAUAAUGUUUGAACCUUCUUGCAAGAUACGACUCAACCAGAAUAGCAGCAUAGCCAGCCAUCUACAACACACAAGACUCCAUGCCACUCUGCCCCAAGGGUGCAAAGCUACAAAGAUAAGACUGUAUCUUCAAGAAAACUUGGACAAUGAGAUAGAAUGUUAUCCGAGAACACAAAUGAUUAUUUUGGUAGCCAAAUAUUUCAUGAAAAACAUUGUAUUUUUAUGCAAAAAGUUGUCCAUGAAGUUCUGAGAUUUGCUAGUGGGGGAGAGUAAGAUAUGGCUGAAGGAUUUGAGUCCAAUGCAGGACUCAAGACACUUUCUGUAUUGACUUGGACUUGUCACAGACUUGCUGGCAUUUGUACUCAGACCAAGGUUUGUAAAAUAAUGUUUUGUUGUUAUUGUUGUAAUUAAAUUUUUACUAGGGAUUUAAUUUUUACUUAAAUUCUUAGUGUGGCUUUUGUUCCAUGGAGCACACUACUGACUGUUAACAAGACAUAGGGUAUUGUGGCUAUGUAGAUGUUUGAUGCUAAGCUGGUGGCAUUGUGUUUCUUUUACUGCUGUAAAAAUUUUGACACAUUUGGGAGUAUCUGGCCAACAGGGCAUGAAUUAUUUGAAUGUGACAUUGACCCCUUUGUCAGUCACGUCUGACCAGAAGAGAGGGCACUGGAAAUAGUGUGCGAGUCUGCGGAAGCGCAGAAAGAGAGCUGGCAUUCGUGCUACGCUAAAGGCUAACCCAAGCCAUCCAUCUGUACCAUCCAGAGUUUGCUCUCUUGACAAUAAAUUGGACUUACUCAGUCUACAGCUAACUGCCCACUGUGAAAUCAGGGACUGCUGUGUUUUCAUUUUUGUGGAUACAUGGCUCAACGACCACAUUCCGGAUGCAGCCAUUCAGCUAGCCAGGUACAGUGCCUUGGAUAAGUAUCGACCCUCUUGAACUUUUCAACUUUUUGCAGUGAAUUUGACAUUUUACUCAACCUGUUGACUUUUAAAUUUGGGCAAAAUCAUGGUGGAACAGGCUGUCGCUCCAACAGAGGAUUUUGUCUACAAAUUUUAUUCCUAUGCUGGAACUGAAAGACAUGAAGCCGUCAUGAAUGCACAGGCUAAGGGAGAAUAAUCAAAUCAAAGGUCAGGAUUUCUGCACAGAGACUCACAUGAAUUUGUGACACAUGAUAACUGAAGAUAUGGUUGUGUACCUAAUGUGCAGAACAACCUGUUUAAUCUGGAAUUUCCUUGCAAGUCCUUUGAUUCCUGUAUGUGAUGUUCACAGAGGUAAGGUAUGUGGCUUUUAUUUUCUUU